rnacentral:rRNA from 1 species
UACGUAGGUGGCAAGCGUUGUCCGGAUUUAUUGGGUUUAAAGGGUGCGUAGGCGGCUUUGUAAGUCAGCGGUGAAAUACUCUAGCUUAACUAGAGGGGUGCCAUUGAUACUGCGGAGCUUGAGUACAGAUGAGGUAGGCGGAAUUGACGGUGUAGCGGUGAAAUGCAUAGAUAUCGUCAAGAACACCGAUAGCGAAGGCAGCUUACUGGGCUGUAACUGACGCUGAUGCACGAAAAGUGUGGGGGAUCAAACAGG